rnacentral:rRNA from 1 species
GAGAGUUAAACAGUACGUGAAAUUGUUGAAAGGGAAACGAUUGAAGCCAGUCGUACCUUCGGGUAAUCAGCCUUUCGGGUGCGAUUCUGUGGAGUGUGAGGAGCUUAAACACCUUCAUGUUUUGCAUAUUCGUACUCUUGGGUGUACUUGCCCGUGUGGUUGGUUAACAUCAAUUUUGGUGGUCAUAAAAUGACUGGAGGAAUGUAGCUUCGAUCUUGUAUUGAAGUGUUAUAGCCUUCGGUAGAUGUGAUGAUCGAGAUUGAGGAUUGCAACGGAUACCCUUCGGGGCUACCUGUCUGGUCUCUGAUCGUUGCUCUGGUGCCGAAAGCUUGCUUUCGGUUAUCAAAGUCGAUGGUCAAUAGGUUAGAACGGGUUAAAUUCGUUAAGGAUGUUGACGUAAUGGCUUUAAACGA